UACGUAGGGCGCAAGCGUUGUCCGGAAUUAUUGGGCGUAAAGAGCUCGUAGGCGGCCUGUUGAGUCGGCUGUGAAAUCCCGGGGCUCAACCCCGGGCCUGCAGUGGAUACGGGCUGGCUAGAGGCAGGCAGGGGAGAACGGAAUUCCUGGUGUAGCGGUGAAAUGCGCAGAUAUCAGGAGGAACACCGGUGGCGAAGGCGGUUCUCUGGGCCUGUACUGACGCUGAGGAGCGAAAGCGUAGGGAGCGAACAGG
rnacentral:rRNA from 1 species